UUAUCUGAAAGCGUGAAAACGGUUCAAAUCAAAACAAAAAACACAGGCAGGUGCAGAACAGCUAAAGACGUCUGUAAUGACUACUGAAAAUGGGAACCGUGAGGCAUGUACUACCUGGGACUGAUGCCAACUGCUGACAAAAGGCUUCACUGCACGCUCUGAGAGAAGUCUUUAACUCGUUCUUUCUUCCCCCCCAAAUGCUUCAGAAAUCUACGGGAUUGAGUUGUUUUGAUGUCAUAAGUCUGGCAACACUUUUUGCCAUAGGUACAAGAACCGAUCUGGGCCAAAGUGGGCAGGGAGAGAGGAGGGCACGGCCGAGACUGCUCUCAAGCCCCAGCCCUUGUUCGAGUGGGGUUGCUCGCCAGCACGCUGCUCAGCCUUUCCCUCAUCUUGCAGACGAAAGAGAGGGACGUGGAAAUGCGCUCUCCUCUCUUUUCUUCCCCGCCCUUUUUUCACCACCACCAUGGCCUGUUCACUUCGGGUCAUCUCUGCGGAGAUCCCUGCUCUGUCCUUUACAAAAUCUACUUCCAGGGCCUGGGUCCGAACAUGACUGAGCAGACAGGAUUAGGAAGUCUACUGGUGUCAUCAAGAACUUGAUGGACACCGCAUAUGCUGAGUUGGAGGUGUCAAAGUCUAGUGGCAUCCAUCAUGCUGCUCGCCAGACCAAGGACAUUCUAGCCCUUGUGGAGGUUGUUAGGGAGGCAGAGCUGUUAAACCAUGCAAAGCGUUCACUACAUUCCCUGGUUUUAACAGAAACAUUCUAGCUGAAGUCAGCGAGUUGUGUGGGAGGUUAAGGUCCAAAUUGAAGGAGCAGACCAAGGUACCUGUUUGAAUUCAAACCAAUUGGUUGCCAGGCUAGCUGGGGAUGAGGGCAGCUUAGUCUGACCAUCAAACGAUCUCUAAGAGGAAAACAGGGUAGAGGGAAAGAUGGUGAUUGGUAGUUAGUUAUUAGCGCUAGCAUGCUAACAGAUACCCAUUGAUUUCAGCUAUUUUGCUAAUGCUAGUUAGCAUUGGUCUUGCAAAACUACCUCUAACAUCCUUCAUACUAGACACAGACACAAAAAUGGUAUCCAUGAGUUCAUCUGACUCUGGGGAUGUAGAUAAAUGGCCUCAUGGCCAAAAUCCUGAAGUUUCCCUUUAUGUUGUCACUGUAAAUAUGUUUUAAUAAUCUGUAUUUGUAGACUGUUUUGUAUUUAUCACUACGCCUUUCUCUUUAUCAUUGCUGUGUCUUCUGUAAAAAUCUAACUUUGA